UACGUAGGGCGCGAGCGUUGUCCGGAUUUAUUGGGCGUAAAGAGCUCGUAGGCGGCUUGUCGCGUCGUCCGUGAAAACUUGGGGCUCAACCCCAAGCUUGCGGUCGAUACGGGCAGGCUAGAGUUCGGUAGGGGAGACUGGAAUUCCUGGUGUAGCGGUGAAAUGCGCAGAUAUCAGGAGGAACACCGAUGGCGAAGGCGGUUCUCUGGGCCUUACCUGACACUGAGGAGCGAAAGCGUGGGGAGCGAACAGG
rnacentral:rRNA from 1 species